rnacentral:rRNA from 1 species
UACGUAGGGUGCGAGCGUUGUCCGGAAUUAUUGGGCGUAAAGGGCUCGUAGGCGGUUUGUCGCGUCGGGAGUGAAAACCAGGUGCUUAACACCUGGCUUGCUUUCGAUACGGGCAGACUAGAGUGUGGUAGGGGAGAUCGGAAUUCCUGGUGUAGCGGUGAAAUGCGCAGAUAUCAGGAGGAACACCGGUGGCGAAGGCGGAUCUCUGGGCCAUUACUGACGCUGAGGAGCGAAAGCGUGGGGAGCGAACAGG